ACCGAAUUAACCCUCCAUAACAUGACGACUGGGCAUCCAGAUGUCAUUAAAACUGCGGUGGUAAAAGAUGGGCAUGCGUUUGAUUAGUUAGUUGGCAGUGUAACGGACUACCAAGACGAUGAUCAAUAGGGGACCUGAGAGGGUGAUCCCCCACACUGGCACUGAGAUACGGGCCAGACUCCUACGGGAGGCAGCAGUAGGGAAUAUUGGACAAUGGGUGAGAGCCUGAUCCAGCCAUGCCGCGUGCAGGAAGAAGGCGUUAUGCGUUGUAAACUGCUUUUGCCAGGGGAUAAAACGACUCUGCGGAGUUAAUUGAAGGUACCUGGUGAAUAAGCCACGGCUAACUACGUGCCAGCAGCCGCGGUAAUACGUAGGUGGCAAGCGUUGUCCGGAUUUAUUGGGUUUAAAGGGUGCGUAGGCGGCCCCGUAAGUCAGUGCUGAAAUAUCCCGGCUUAACCGGGAGGGUGGCAUUGAUACUGCAGGGCUUGAGUACAGAUGAAGUAGGCGGAAUUGACGGUGUAGCGGUGAAAUGCAUAGAUAUCGUCAAGAACACCGAUAGCGAAGGCAGCUUACUAAGCUGUAACUGACGCUGAGGCACG
rnacentral:rRNA from 1 species